AGAACGAACGCUGGCGGCAGGCUUAACACAUGCAAGUCGAACGCCCCGCAAGGGGAGUGGCAGACGGGUGAGUAACGCGUGGGAAUCUACCCAGUUCUACGGAAUAACACAGGGAAACUUGUGCUAAUACCGUAUACGCCCUACGGGGGAAAGAUUUAUCGGGAUUGGAUGAGCCCGCGUUGGAUUAGCUAGUUGGUGGGGUAAUGGCCUACCAAGGCGACGAUCCAUAGCUGGUCUGAGAGGAUGAUCAGCCACACUGGGACUGAGACACGGCCCAGACUCCUACGGGAGGCAGCAGCGGGGAAUAUUGGACAAUGGGCGCAAGCCUGAUCCAGCCAUGCCGCGUGAGUGAUGAAGGCCUUAGGGUUGUAAAGCUCUUUCAGUGGGGAAGAUAAUGACGGUACCCACAGAACGAAGCCCCGGCUAACUUCGUGCCAGCAGCCGC
rnacentral:rRNA from 1 species